rnacentral:snRNA from 1 species
GUGCUCGCUUCUGCAGCACAUAUCCUAAAAUCGGAACGAUACAGAGAUGAGUUCUGCCCUGCGCAAGGAUGACAUGAAGACUUGUGAAGCAUUCCAUAUUAAA